AUUGAACGCUGGCGGCAGGCUUCACACAUGCAAGUCGAGCGAGAGUCGGACGGGUGAGUAAUGUAUGGGAAUCUGCCUGAUGGAGGGGGCUAACUACUGGAAACGGUAGCUAAUACCGCAUACCAUCAGAUGUGCCCAGAUGGGAUUAGCUAGUAGGUGGGGUAAUGGCUCACCUAGGCGACGAUCCCUCGCUGGUCUGAGAGGAUGACCAGACACACUGGAACUGAGACACGGUCCAGACGCCUAAGGGAGGAAGCAGUGGGGAAUAUGGGACAAUGGGCGCAAGCCUGAUGCAGCCAGGCCGCGUGUGUGAAGAAGGCCUUCGGGUUGUAAAGCACUUUCAGCGAGGAGGCGUUACUCGCAGAAGAAGCACCGGCUAACUCCGUGCCAGCAGCCGCGGUAAUUC
rnacentral:rRNA from 1 species